CCCUUAGAUGUUCUGGGCCGCACGCGCGCUACACUGAUGCAUUCAACGAGUCUACAACCUGGUCUGAUAGGGCUGGGUAAUCUUUUGAAUGUGCAUCGUGAUUGGGAUAGAUGAUUGCAAUUCUUCAUCUUCAACGAGGAAUGCCUAGUAAACGCAAGCCAUCAGCUUGCAUUGAUUACGUCCCUGCCCUUUGUACACACCGCCCGUCGCUCCUACCGAUUGGGUGUGCUGGUGAAAUGUUCGGAUCGGCCGUUUGUCGCGGUUUCCGCGUCAUGUGGCUGAGAAGUUCAUUAAACCCUCCCACCUAGAGGAAGGAGAAGUCGUAACA
rnacentral:rRNA from 1 species